CCUACGGGUGGCAGCAGUGGGGAAGAUUGGGCAAUGGACGCAAGUCUGACCCAGCAACGCCGCGUGAAGGAAGAAGGCGUUCGGGUUGUAAACUUCAUUUAAGGGGGAAGAGCAGAAGACGGGACACCUUGAAUAAGCCACGGCUACCUCCGUGCCAGCAGCCGCGGGAAUACGGAGGUGGCAAGCGUUGUCCGGAUUUACUGGGUGUAAAGGGCGUGAAGCGGGGAAGAAUAGUCAGAUGUGCAAUCCCGAGGCUCAACCGCGGAACGGCCUUUGAAACUGUUUUUCUUGAGUAUCUGAGCGGUAAUCGGAAUUCCUCGUGUAGCGGUGA
rnacentral:rRNA from 1 species